CCUACGGGAGGCAGCAGUAGGGAAUAUUGCUCAAUGGGGGAAACCCUGAAGCAGCAACGCCGCGUGGAGGAUGAAGGUUUUCGGAUUGUAAACUCCUUUUGUUAGAGAAGAUAAUGACGGUAUCUAACGAAUAAGCACCGGCUAACUCCGUGCCAGCAGCCGCGGUAAUACGGGGGGUGCAAGCGUUACUCGGAAUCACUGGGCGAAAAGAGCGCGUAGGCGGGAUAGCAAGUCAGAUGUGAAAUCCUAUGGCUUAACCAUAGAACUGCAUUUGAAACUGUUAUUCUAGAGUAUGGGGGGGUUAGGUGAAAUUCUUGGGGUAGGGGUAAAAUCCGUAGAGAUCAAGAGGAAAACUCAUUGGAAGGGCAGCAUACCGGCGCUCAACGGACGCUCAUGCACGAAGGUGUGGGUAUCGACAGGAUUAGAUACCCCAGUAGUC
rnacentral:rRNA from 1 species